CUACGGGUUGCACCAGUCGAGGAUUUUUCUCAAUGGGGGCAACCCUGAAGGAGCGACGCCGCGUGGAGGAUGAAGGGCUUCGGCUCGUAAACUCCUGUCACCGACGAACAAGGCAUCCGGAUUAAUAAAUCGGAUGCUUGAUGGUAGUCGGAGAGGAAGGGGCGGCUAACUCUGUGCCAGCAGCCGCGGUGAUACAGAGGCCCCAAGCGUUGUUCGGAUUUACUGGGCGUAAAGGGUGUGUAGGGGGUCGGGUAAGUUUGACGUGAAAUCCCGUUGCUCAACAACGGAACUGCGUCGAAUACUGCUCGGCUGGAGGUUCGGAGAUGAGGGCGGAAUUCUCGGUGUAGCGGUGAAAUGCGUAGAUAUCGAGAGGAACGCCGAUAGCGAAAGCAGCCCUCAAGACGAAAUCUGACCCUGAAACACGAAGGCCAGGGGAGCAAACGGGAUUAGAUACCCCGGUAGUC
rnacentral:rRNA from 1 species